UACGGAGGAUGCAAGCGUUAUCCGGAAUUAUUGGGCGUAAAGCGUCCGCAGGUGGUUUUACAAGUCUGCCGUCAAAGCGCGGAGCUUAACUUCGUAUCGGCAGUGGAAACUGUGGAACUAGAGUUUGGUAGGGGUCACGGGAAUUCCCAGUGUAGCGGUGAAAUGCGUAGAUAUUGGGAAGAACACCAGCGGCGAAAGCGCGUGACUGGGCCUGAACUGACACUCAUGGACGAAAGCUAGGGGAGCGAAAGGG
rnacentral:rRNA from 1 species